UAUUCUGACCUCCCCUGUUCCCAGUGUACAUUGGCUUACAACCCAAAGGCAUCGCGCCUAAUAUUUCAGUGUGGUAUUAAAAUAUUUCGAAGAUUUUACGUUGUUUUUCGAGUCGCAUUUUGUCGAGUAGAAGUACAUAUUAUACAUCAAAAGAAAGAUGAUUUCAUACUAUCAAGUUUGCAAUGCAUUUUUUUGGAUAUUUUUGUUCAUUUUUGAAAUAUUCCAUAUUGAAAAAUUCAUUAUGAUGUCAUUGUGAUUUUGAUGACGUCAUCAAAAAACUAAAAAGAUGAAGUUGAAGACAAUUUUAUACACUACGAACUUGCCAGGGUGCAAAAUCAUUCGUAAACGACCUAGUUGAAGAUCGGGGUGUCGUGAUCAUUAGAGCAGUAAUUUCACUGCGAUCUAAUGUUUUAUGUUCGUCGCGUGUUCGUAAAAAUCAGCUAAUGAAGUUGCUCGAGUAACAAACAUUGCCGUGCUGCAAUUAGACAUUUUGCGCUUAAUUGUUACGUCACAUGUC